UACGUAGGAGGCGAGCGUUGUCCGGAGUUACUGGGCGUAAAGGGUGCGCAGGCGGCGGUUCGCGUGGCGAGAUGAAAUCUCCUGGCUUACCUGGGAGGAUGGUCGCCAGACGGGAUCGCUUGAGGGUCGGAGAGGGGCGUGGAAUUCCGGUGGAGCGGUGAAAUGCGUAGAGAUCGGAAAGAACACCAACGGCGAAAGCACUCUGCUGGGCCGACACUGACACUGAGAGACGAAAGCUAGGGGAGCGAAUGGG
rnacentral:rRNA from 1 species